rnacentral:rRNA from 1 species
AGAAUCAACGCUGGCGGCGUGCCUAACACAUGCAAGUCGAACGAGAAAGUGGAGCAAUCCAUGAGCACAGUGGCGCACGGGUGAGUAACACGUGACUAACCUACCCUUGAGUUCGGAAUAACUUCGGGAAACCGAGGCUAAUACCGGAUAAUAUCUACGGAUCAAAGGAGCAAUUCGCUUAAGGAGGGGGUCGCGGCAGAUUAGUUAGUUGGCGGGGUAAUGGCCCACCAAGACGAUGAUCUGUAUCCGGCCUGAGAGGGCGCACGGACACACUGGAACUGAAACACGGUCCAGACUCCUACGGGAGGCAGCAGUGGGGAAUUUUGCGCAAUGGGGGAAACCCUGACGCAGCAACGCCGCGUGGAGGAUGAAAUCCCUUGGGAUGUAAACUCCUUUCGAUCGGGACGAUUAUGACGGUACCGGAAGAAGAAGCCCCGGCUAACUUCGCGCCAGCAGCCGC